AUCAUGAUAUCUCUCUCCGUUACUCUUUUCAUUACCUCUGUCUCCCCCACUGCUUCUCCUCUCUCCCUUUAGCUUCACACGAUCUCCAUUUCCCCAGUCCUCUCUCCCUCCCUUUCCCUCAAAUUUUCAUAUCUAAAAAUCAUCCACAAUCAUACCCUCCUCCAUACCCACCUUCAUUGCCUAAAGUCUACAUUGCAACGCCACCAUCAUGCUCCACAACCACCAGUGCUGUUGAUUUAUUCUCUCAUUAGAGAAGGAAAAGGGCAUCUCUUGAGGGCUUGAGGGCUUGAGGUUAAAUGGAUUUGAGGUUUGGUUGGAUUUGUUGUGUGAUGCAUCUAUUGAGGGUUUGAGGAUAAUUGGCAAUGGAGGAUGGGCCCCAAUAUCCCACAGUCAUGGAAGAAUCAUCAACCUUGGCUUCUUGAAUUCCUGAAUAAUUUUGCUCUUUGGAGCUCAGUUCCUUGAACUCAAGACAGGUCGACCUCCAAGGAUGGAGCCAAAUUGUGGCUUCCAGGACCGGUUUCUUCCCCAGUUUCAAAGGAACUUCUAGAACCUAAAUGGUUCAGGUUAUGAUUAAUUGCUUCAGCAUCUUCUACUCCACAUCUUUUCUCUUGUCCUCUCCCUUGCUCAUGGUCUUGCCUUUUCCCUCGACUCCCUGCUUGCAAGAGGUUGAAGUGCAGUUAGGCAACUUUCUAAUCUUUCUCUUUUUGAUAACACAUGUUUUAGCUUUUGCCCUUUGAGACGUUUCUUUGUUGCUUUCCAUUAAUCCCACUGAUUUGGGAUAAUGCUUCACAAUUACAUGUAGAAGAUACACUCUUCGCACUAAUGCUGCGGUAGUACUUUUAUUUCUUCUGGGGGAGGUCUCCAUCAAGUUCUUCGAUUGCAGCUUUUGCCUCUAUUAGUAACCACUCAACAGUUUUAUUAGCUUUAUCAAAGCCUACCGUGUCUGGCAGCAGAUUAAAAAUCUUAUCGCCAAUUUCAAGUGGCAAUCUCAGUGUCCUGUCUCUCAUACCUCGAGCUGUAUUGAUCUUUCUUUGACAUUUCUUCUUGGAAGAUUUCAUUCUAGGGAUCUGCUUGGUUGCCCUAUGAAUUUUCUUACUGGUAUCUCCUAUAAACUCAAUGUUUUUGUUUGAAUUGACCAUGUUAACUGCAGUUUCAGCUUACUUUGUUACAAGGUAUGAAGGGUUGUUGUUGCAGUAAUAGGCUUUUGUGUUGAAGGAAAAUCUCUUCAUCUUUAUAGCCGAUGAAGAGAGAUGGAAAGCUUGUUGAGAAUUCGAUCUGAUGUAAGUGUACUUGAAGGGCCCUGGGGUAUUUGCUUAGUCAGAAUAAGAAAUGGAAUUGUUGCUAUUGCCGCUAGAGAGGAACAUUAUUGCCUUGUAAUUGCACUGAUCACAUAAUAUGCACGCUAACGAUGUUGCCUGACAAUUACAUUAAGUUCACCACCAAAGGACAGAACAUAAUGAAUUCAUUAAUAUGGAGCUGCAAUAGGCAAAAGCCCCUUUCUUUGUCUCCGAA